rnacentral:rRNA from 2 species
CAGCACAGUAAGAGCUUGCCCUUAUGGGUGGCGAGUGGCGGACGGGUGAGGAAUACAUCGGAAUCUACUUUUUCGUGGGGGAUAACGUAGGGAAACUUACGCUAAUACCGCAUACGACCUACGGGUGAAAGCAGGGGAUCUUCGGACCUUGCGCGAUUGAAUGAGCCGAUGUCGGAUUAGCUAGUUGGCGGGGUAAAGGCCCACCAAGGCGACGAUCCGUAGCUGGUCUGAGAGGAUGAUCAGCCACACUGGAACUGAGACACGGUCCAGACUCCUACGGGAGGCAGCAGUGGGGAAUAUUGGACAAUGGGCGCAAGCCUGAUCCAGCCAUACCGCGUGGGUGAAGAAGGCCUU